rnacentral:rRNA from 1 species
GUACCUUGUGUAUCAGGGUUUAUUAAAUAGAUUAUUUAAAUUAAAUAUAUCUCGAAUUUUAAAGAUUUAAAUUAAAAUAUUAGUUAAUGUGGAAUAAUUAUUAAUAAUUUUAAUUUAGUAGUGAAAUGUUAACGAUUUAAAAGAUAUCUAGUUUUUUUAGAAUUGAAUUUAAUUCAGUAUUUAAAUAUUAUAUAAUAUACAAUUAUAUAUAUAUAUAUAUAUAUUUAAAUAAAAUUAUUUUAGGGCUAAUCUUAAAAUAAUUUUAAUAAUUAAUUUUAUAUAUAAUAUAAAAAUAUUUAUAGUAAUAGAAAUUUUUAAAAAGUAUUUUAUAAUUUAUAAUAAAAUUUAAAUUUGAUUUCAAUAAAAAUUUUAAAAUUUUAUAUAAAAAGUAUAAUAAUAAUAAUAAUAAAGUUAUAAUGAUAAUAUUAGUAAAAUAUAAUAUUUAAAUUAGAAAUUAAUUAAAAAAUAAUAUUAAAGAAUUCGACAAAUAUUUUAUUCGCCUGUUUAUCAAAAACAUGGUUUAUAGAUUUUAAUUAUAAAUCGGUUCUGCCCAAUGAAUUUAAUAAUUUAAAUGGCUGCGGUAUACUGACCGUACAAAGGUAGCAAAGUCAAUAGUUUUUUAAUUGAAAACUGGUAUGAAAGAGCUGACGAGAUAAAAAUUGUUUCAAUAUUAAAUUAUUGAAUUUAAAUUUUGAGUUAAAAUGCUUAAAUUUUUUUAUUAGACGAGAAGACCCUAUAGAAUUUAAUAAAAUUUAUAUAUAAAGAUUAUUAUAUAAAAAUAAAUUUUUAUAUAUAUUUAUAUUUAAUUGGGAGGAUUAUAAAAUUAAAUAAACUUUUAUUUUAUUAAUAACAUAGAUAAAUGAAGUUAUGAUUAUUAUUAUAAUUAAAAGAA